rnacentral:lncRNA from 1 species
GAUAAUUAAGCCCUAAAGAAUGACUGUCCACAGCUAUAGCAACUCAAAGGCAGCGAGUGACUAAAAGCAACAGAGACAGGAGCUGCUUGUGUAGGAGGUAAA